rnacentral:piRNA from 1 species
UGCUCCUGAAACAGAAGGAUUCAGUGGGA